rnacentral:rRNA from 1 species
UACGAAGGGGGCUAGCGUUGCUCGGAAUCACUGGGCGUAAAGCGCACGUAGGCGGCUUUCUAAGUCAGGGGUGAAAUCCUGGAGCUCAACUCCAGAACUGCCUUUGAUACUGAUGAGCUUGAGUCCGGGAGAGGUGAGUGGAACUGCGAGUGUAGAGGUGAAAUUCGUAGAUAUUCGCAAGAACACCAGUGGCGAAGGCGGCUCACUGGCCCGGUACUGACGCUGAGGUGCGAAAGCGUGGGGAGCAAACAGG